rnacentral:rRNA from 1 species
GGUUAAGCGACUAAGCGUACACGGUGGAUGCCCUGGCAGUCAGAGGCGAUGAAGGGCGUGCUAAUCUGCGAUAAGCGCCGGUAAGGUGAUAUGAACCGUUAUAACCGGCGAUACCCGAAUGGGGAAACCCAGUGUGAYUCGUCACACUAUCAUUAACUGAAUCCAUAGGUUAAUGAGGCGAACCGGGGGAACUGAAACAUCUAAGUACCCCGAGGAAAAGAAAUCAAC